CCCAGCAGAUGACCUGUACUUCUCUGCUCUCUCCCCUACUGCAAAGAGGCAGUGAGGGCAGCAUUAGUAAGCCUGACUCAGGGGAAGGUAAGUGGCCUGCAGAGAAAUGGUCCUAGGUCCGCAACCGAGGCGAGUGAACUUGUCGGACAGAUGAAGACUCUAACUGGAAGAAACGAUCAGCGCAUUCACGGAUGCACCACCAUCCAGAAAUCUCCCGGUGGCUUCCAUACAAAAACUGAUGUUUCUAAAGAUGGAAAGAACAGGUCUAGGAGGCAGAAGAGUAUCUCCUAGCAAAGUGUUCUGUAGCUCAAAGGAACCUGCACUGACCUUGGGCCCGUAGCGACGCUUCAGCCUCUCCCUGAUGAGCAGACCUUUGGCCAGCAACUUCCAGUUCCCUAGAGCCCGCUUCUCCUUUUUCUGCAGGCAAAAAUGAAGUGGGAGAAAAGUGUUAAGCACUGACAUUUUCAGGAAAAAUAUUAAGAUGGAAACUGUGAAUGUAAAGACAGAUAUAUACACCACUUUAGAAUAUAGCCUCUCCUUCACACCAA
ensembl:lncRNA XPC-AS1 XPC antisense RNA 1